AACGCGAAGAACCUUACCAAGGCUUGACAUACACCGGAAACGGCCAGAGAUGGUCGCCCCCUUGUGGUCGGUGUACAGGUGGUGCAUGGCUGUCGUCAGCUCGUGUCGUGAGAUGUUGGGUUAAGUCCCGCAACGAGCGCAACCCUUGUUCUGUGUUGCCAGCAUGCCCUUCGGGGUGAUGGGGACUCACAGGAGACUGCCGGGGUCAACUCGGAGGAAGGUGGGGACGACGUCAAGUCAUCAUGCCCCUUAUGUCUUGGGCUGCACACGUGCUACAAUGGCCGGUACAAAGAGCUGCGAAACCGUGAGGUGGAGCGAAUCUCAAAAAGCCGGUCUCAGUUCGGAUUGGGGUCUGCAACUCGACCCCAUGAAGUCGGAGUUGCUAGUAAUCGCAGAUCACCAUUGCUGUGGUGAAUACGUUCCCGGGCCUUGUACACACCG
rnacentral:rRNA from 1 species